GGGCUCACACAAGCGGUGGAGCAUGUUGCUUAAUUCGAGGCAACGCGAAGAACCUUACCUGGGUUUGACAUGUACGGAUUAACUCUGUGAAAGCAGAGCCACAGUCGCAAGACCGGAACGUGCACAGGUGCUGCAUGGCUGUCGUCAGCUCGUGCUGUGAAGUGUCAGGUUAAGUCCUUUAACGAGCGCAACCCCUAUCGUUAGUUGCUCGGCGAAAGCCAGUACUCUAGCGAGACUGCCGGUGUCAAACCGGAGGAAGGUGGGGAUGACGUCAAGUCCUCAUGGCCCUUACAUCCAGGGUUGCAAACGUGCUACAAUGGCGCGCACAAAGCGACGCAAGAUCGCGAGAUGGAGCAAAUCGCAAAAAACGCGCCCCAGUUCGGAUUGCAGGCUGCAACUCGCCUGCAUGAAGUCGGAAUCGCUAGUAAUCGGAGAUCAGCUACGCUCCGGUGAAUGUGUUCCUGAGCCUU
rnacentral:rRNA from 1 species